AAUGCUCUGUAAUGGUUGUUGUCAAGUUUUUAUGACUUUGUGCAUAAUCAUCACAAGAGGAUUAAUGCAUAUAAGUUUAGAAUCUAACAGAUUUCAGUAAAUGACAUGAAUUUGGAAUUCUUGCAUUUGCAGUAAGGCUUUGAGACUGUGAAAAGAGGAUCAUUGGAGUUAUGUUCAAUUGAUCUAUUUCACAAAGUAAAGAUCAUAGACAAACAUAGUAUGCAUACUUGGUGUAUGGCAUGACUAGUGUUUAGAAAACAUAGUGUACAUGCUUGGAGCAUGGGACAACUAUUGUUUUAAAUUCAAGAAUAAAGUUGAUAGCUGAAACAGUAUACAAUGAAUAAUGUGUAAUCAUAUGGUGAUAAAUAAAAGGUGUUUUAUUUAUGUUCAUAGGUUUUGAUACCAUAUUGGAUUCAAUUAUUAUUGUGUUUCACUUUGCAUAUUUUGACUUCCAGAAUAAACUGGGUUAUUCUUCCGGAAUGACUAAGUUAUUCAAACCAUCCACAGUCGGUCAUAUGUUGGAAGUAGAUAUGAAUUAAGACUGUCAUGGGUUGGCUUGUAGAGGUCUAAGGUGUUGGACAAAGGGCUACAACACUCAUGAGUGCUCAUAAGUUCUGAGUAUUGGAUUCAACCCGCGCUCAUUGGAAUCACUUCAUGGAUUUUAUCACNAACUAUUGUUUUAAAUUCAAGAAUAAAGUUGAUAGCUGAAACAGUAUACAAUGAAUAAUGUGUAAUCAUAUGGUGAUAAAUAAAAGGUGUUUUAUUUAUGUUCAUAGGUUUUGAUACCAUAUUGGAUUCAAUUAUUAUUGUGUUUCACUUUGCAUAUUUUAACUUCCAGAAUAACUAGGUCGUUCUUCUUGAUUAACUAAGUUAUUCAAACCAUCCACAUUCGGUCAUAUGUUGAAAGUAGAUAUGAAUUAAGAUUGUCAUGGGUUGGCUUGUAGAGGUCUAAGAUGUUGGACAAAUGGCUACAACACUCAUGAGUGCUCAUAAGUUCUGAGUAUUGGAUUCAACCCGCGCUCAUUUGAAUCACUUCAUGGAUUUUAUCACGAGUGAUCAUGAGACGAUAAUAUCUUAUAUUCUUCAAACCUAGAGAUAUGAGUUGUUACUAUGAGUUGGUUGUACAUUGAUUGCACGAAAACGCAUUUGGUAACUCGGUGCUAUAAAACGUGCCUUUGUGUAUGAUUCAACAAGUAGUAGAACAAGCCAUAUGAGUCGAAGUUUAUCCAUUCCUUUUACCUUCAGGAUAAAAGCGAUAUUUGUGGGCCCCUCGAUGAUUUGAUGAUGACAAAUAGAAGUGCUCGGCCGGGCCAGGACUGAUUUGAUUUGUUCAAUUAGUCAGUCGUCAUAAAUCGGAAAUCGGGAAACAACAAAUGGACAGAGAGAAUGAUUAUAAUCCAUGUCUCAGUCCAUAUGAUAUCUAGAAUGGAGGAAUAUAUGAUCCCUUAUCUAAUGGACAAGUCAUUGACAAAGGUCAGAGUUCAUCUACAAGGUCAGAGUUCGACAGAAGCUUUUGAGAGCUACGAUUGCCAGUUGGUUCCUGAAGUCAUACGC
rnacentral:lncRNA from 1 species